rnacentral:misc_RNA from 1 species
AACUGAUACUACCUGCGGGAACCUGCGGAAGGAUCAUUCACAAUAAGUGUUUUAUGGCACUUUAAUUCCAUAUCCACCUUGUGUGCAACGUAGUUCGUUUUUCGAACAAAACAUCAACAUUUUAAUUAUCAACAGAUCGUCUGAAGUAUUAUAUGAAUAAAUCAAUUCAAAAUACAACUUUUAACAAUGGAUCUCU